AGAGUUUGAUCCUGGCUCAGAUUGAACGCUGGCGGCAUGCUUUACACAUGCAAGUCGAACGGCAGCACAGGGAGCUUGCUCCCGGGUGGCGAGUGGCGCACGGGUGAGUAAUACAUCGGAACGUGUCCUGUUGUGGGGGGAUAACUGCUCGAAAGGGUGGCUAAUACCGCAUGAGACCUGAGGGUGAAAGCGGGGGAUCGCAAGACCUCGCGCAAUUGGAGCGGCCGAUGCCCGAUUAGCUAGUUGGUGGGGUAAAGGCUCACCAAGGCGACGAUCGGUAGCUGGUCUGAGAGGACGACCAGCCACACUGGGGACUGAGACACGGCCCAGACUCCUACGGGAGGCAGCA
rnacentral:rRNA from 1 species